UAUUACCGCGGCUGCUGGCACGGAGUUAGCCGAUGCUGAUUCCUCAGGUACCUUCACUUUCUUAUUCCCUGAGAAAAGAGGUUUACAACCCAAGAGCCUUCCUCCCUCACGCGGUAUUGCUCCGUCAGGCUUUCGCCCAUUGCGGAAAAUUCCCCACUGCUGCCUCCCGUAGGAGUCUGGGCCGUGUCUCAGUCCCAGUGUGGCUGGUCAUCCUCUCAGACCAGCUACUGAUCGUCGCCUAGGUGCGCUCUUACCACACCUACUAGCUAAUCAGACGCGAGCUCAUCAAAAGGCGAUUAAUCUUUCACCCACAGGCACAUCCGGUAUUAGCAGUCGUUUCCAACUGUUGUCCCGAACCUUUUGCCAGAUUCUCACGCGUUACUCACCCGUCCGCCACUAAGUUCCGAAGAACUCCGUUCGACUUGCAUGUGUUAAGCAUAUCGCCAGCGUUCAUCCUGAGCCAUAAUCAAACUCU
rnacentral:rRNA from 1 species